rnacentral:lncRNA from 1 species
CUAAAUUUUUCUAUGCAGAGCCAUCAUUCUGGUGUCCUCUGCCAAAAAUCCUACGAAGGAACAACAUUCAGGCAUUUUACUCCAUGGUGAAGCCAAGCAGAGUUGCUAUGGAGCUCUGAUCUGCAGCUUUACGGUUGUACUUUUAUUGCGGAGGGCCCAAAACGCUGUGAAAAACUGCAGCAGGACAACUAAAACACUGACCCUCUCUUCUGUUUCAUUGUGGUAUGUUUAUUGGAGGAUUACUGGGAGUUUUUCCAGUCCUGUCAGAGGAGACUGCUGGCAGAGUUGACCUUAAAAGAGACAUGGACCUAUUUUUCAAAGUGUUCUGUAUGUGUGCAGCUGUCAAACAACCUGGGACACAACAGCCAAUCUUCUGAUUUACACACUGUGGACAGAAGAAAAGACUUGGCAAGUCAAAUAUUGCCCCAAUUAUUGUCUUCCAUUCUACCUGAAAAACUGCUGGGGGAAAUGAGACAACUGGGGACACUGCUACUGAGAAGGCAUGUGCCCAAGGGAGGGAAUUGCAGUGGAGUUGUGGUACUGACCUUGGGGGCUGUGUAUGUAAUAUUCCAAGAGGAUGGGAUGACAGAAAUUCCUGGUAGAGGUCAGAAUGGCCGUGCAGAGAUGUCAGAACAAGUAGAUAAUGACAUGCAUUUCAGCAGUAAUGAAAUCCAUUUUGGAAACAAAACAAAACCAAGGUGGAUGAUAUGGCUGUGUUCAACUUGCAUGUAAAAAGGCAUCUGGUGUUGGAGUCCCACAGAGACCGGGAGAUGGUCCAUUUAAAGCUUCCAGGAGACUGCCAAUUAACUGAAUUCAUGAUGUGGCUGGUUAAACUGGUUUUGUGUGCAAUUUAUAUGGAACUGAUAGUCUUGAUUCAGAAACAACC